UCAACAUGCAUUACAAUAAUUAUUUGAUUUGACAUUUAUAUAAACAGAAACCUAAGAAAAUAACCUCACAGUCAGUUUCUUGCUCACGACUUAAACAAUAUCACGGUGACAUUGUGAUUAUCAAAUCUAGAUCAAAGCAAUAAUUAAAAAUUUUACCAGAAAUAACGAUUUGCUCGCCGAAUUCAAUACCGGAGUUCCACGAUCUACAUUUUUUUUUCAUUAUGGAUGAUAAAAAAAUGUGUAGAUCGUGGAACUUCGGUAUUGAAUCCGGGGAAGAGAUCGUUAUUUCUGGUAUUAGUCUGGUAGAUUUCCAUAUUAAUCAGAUCACAAUAUGAAUCAGUUUCGAAAAAAUCUAUUUAAUAAAGUUGACGUUGUUAAAACAAAUCAUGAUCGAUGGAAAAAAGUAAAUUGUUAAUUAUGUAUAGCCAAAGAACUUUUGUCUAAAACACGAUUCACAGAACUUUAUAGGUAACAAACUUGUACCCACAAGAAUUGUGUCACAUAAAUAUUUAUUGAGUUAUUUGAAUAAAACAAAUUAGUGGUAAUAAUAGCAUUCGAAAGCGGUUUUGUUCCUCCAAAUAUUAACUAUACAACACGAAAUGAUAUAAACGCCUUAAUAAAUGGAACUGUUCGUGUUGUUCAAGAACCGAUGCCACUUAAAAACAAUUACUGUAUUAACGCUUUUUUUUGGUUUCGGAGGAACUAAUGCUCAUACAUUAUUAAAGUGGAAUCACAAAUAGAAAGUUAAUAAUGGUAUACCGAAUGAUGACUUGCUAAAGAUUGUAACAUUAUCUGGACGUACAGAAGAAUCCGUAAAGUUAUUUUUAAACGACAUUCGCAAUGGCCAGAAAUAGGUAUAUACAUAUAUAAUGUCAUUUACAGUAACACACGUUAUUUACAGCAACAUUGACUAACAGAAUAAUACAUGUAAUUUUAAAAUUUAAAUCAAAUUUAAAGGACAAAACUUACUAAAAUUUUAAGUUUUUGCAAAUACAAUAAAAAUAUGCGAUGUUACUUUAAAACCACAUGGUAUAAAUGUUAGUGAUAUUUUGAAAAAGACAGACAAAAAAGUGUGCAAAAUGCUUUAUAUGCGCUUCUUGGUAUCGUCGCUAUUUAGAUUGGCUUAGUAGACCUAACCUUUAGGAAUUAAGAAGAUAAAGAAGAACAAAUGAUAACCCAAGACAUCUACAAAAGGUUGAAACUCCGCGGUUAUCAAUACAAUGGUUGGUUUCGUGGAUUAAAGAGUGCAUCUGUUUCAGGCAGGCUACGGGAUAAUGCAGAUUAUGUGAAAGAUACAUUAUUGCCGAUACAGAUAUAUGGAGGCGCGAUUAUAGCGGGUGGAAUAUAAAUACAAGGCCAGACUGGCUAAUAGUUCGUGGUGCCAGAAACAUAGUAUUGGUUUCACGAAGUGGGGUAAAAAACGGUUACCAACGCAUAAAGAUUCGAUUAUGGGAAUCGUAUGGUGUAAAUGUGCUAAUCGUCAAGAAUAUCGAUGUCGCUAAUACCGAAGGUUGUGAAUACCUCUUGCGAACUGCGGAAAGCAAGGCACCAGUAAACGCGAUAUUUAAUCUCGGUGUGAUGUUGGAGGAUAAUGUUAAAAGGACUCUGCAAAUGUCUCCGUCGUUUGAUUCUAAAGAAUCAAACGGCGUAGACAUUUGCAGAGUCCUUUCAGUCAAAUGCUCGGGCAACGCAAACUUUGGACAAACUUUCCAGAAAGUUUUGUCCUAAACUGAGACAUUUUGUAGUGUUUUCUUCCGUUUCUUGUGGUAGGGGCAAUCCUGGACAGACUGAUUAUGGCAUAUGGCUAACUCUAUUAUGGAAAGAGUUUGCGAAAAGAGGAAGGAUUACCCGGAUUGGCAAUUCAAUGGGGAGUUGUUGGUGACGUGGGUCUCGUCGCUGAAAUGCAGGAAGAUCAGAAGGAAUUGAUUAUCGGCGAUACCUUACAACAAAAAGUAUUCUGUUGUCUCGACGAACUUGAUAAGUUUUUACUUCAAAGUUGGUCAGUUGUAAGCGCUCCAUGGUAGUAGCUGAAAAGAAAUCAGAAUUUGUCGAACAUGGAACUCCGGCAGAAGCUAUCGCUAAUAUUUUAAAUAUAAAAGACAUGAAAGUUGUAAGUCAAAAUACAUCUCUGGCUGAACUUGGAAUGGAUUCCAUGAUGGCAGUGGAAAUUAAGCAAACUCUGGAACGAGAAUUCGAUAUUUUCUCUCUGAGAUUCGUAAUCUCAACUUUGCAAAGCUCAAUGAUGCAUCCAAUACGAACAUCAGUGAUGCAAGGUCUUGCGUUACUUGCGUUAUAAUACAAAUAACGUCAUAAUACGUUACAAAAGCGUUAUAAUACAAUGCUGCAAACCUUAUAUUAUGGAUAAUUGAUCGUCUCAUCAAUCACGUAUUAACAAAACUGAGAGAUGGAAAAGACUUUGUAAUGGUAUACUCUUUUGGGUUUAUUAUUGCAAUUGAAUUAAUAAUUGUUAUCUAAACGACCUUUAAAACUCAUAGCUUCUAUCUUCUUAAAAAUAUUGGAAGCCAUGAAUUUUAUAGGCCGUUUGAUUCUUAUCGACGGCGCUCCUGAACAAAUCCGAAUGAUAAGCAAACAUUAUACGCGGACGAAGACGCGGAAUUGGAAGCAUUAUUGGAUUAAGAUUCGUACCAAACGCAAGAAGAACUUGCACUUACUUUUAUAUUUCGAAUAAAACAUAAGGUUCCGUUCUUUCAAAAUAAAUGCCCAAUUUUUGAUAAAAAAUGGCGGAAACUUUUCCGUACACCUAAUAUCAGAUUCUAACAAUGAUGUCGAUCUUCAGAUUAAUGUUCUAAUUAUUAUUUUAAAAGUUGAUUUACCUCUUAAAGAGGAAACGAUUAAAGAGUUUAGCAUUUCAAUUUAAAAACGUAUUCUAUGACGAUUUGUCAUCUUUUAUCUUUUCUUCGACAAUAUGAUCCUUGUUUAUUACGCCGCGCGUCCAUUAUAUCUCUCAUAAUGUUGCUAAAAUCUACAUACUCAUUGCCUAUUCCCGUACUCGACGAAGAUUAUGGUUUGCAGAAGGUAACUCAAAAUGUGGUAAAGAUACAUUACACAAAGGGUAAUCAUGUGACAAUCUUAAGGAACGUCUUAGAUGCAA